rnacentral:rRNA from 1 species
AAUGAACGUUGGCGGCGUGGAUUAGGCAUGCGAGUCGUGCGAGAACCGUAGCAAUACGGGGACAGCGGCGAAAGGGAGAGGAACACGUGGAUACCUACCCUCAGGUUCAGGAUAGCUAUGGGAAACUAUAGGUAAUACUGAAUGAUCUCUCAGGAUCAAAGGGGUGAUUCCGCCGGAGGAGGGGUCCGCGUCCUAUUAGCUAGUUGGUGUGGUAAUGGCGCACCAAGGCGAAGAUGGGUACGGGAUGUGAGAGCAUGAUCCCGCUCAUUGGGACGGAGACACUGCCCAGACACCUACGGGUGGCUGCAGUCGAGAAUCUUCGGCAAUGGGGGAAACCCUGACCGAGCGACGCCGCGUGUGAGAUGAAGGCCUUCGGGUUGUAAAUCACUGUCGUAGAGGAGGAAGUGUAGGUGGGUUCUCCCACUUAUUUGACCUAUUCUAGGAGGAAGGACGGGCUAAGUUCGUGCCAGCCGCCGCAGUAAGAC